UACGAAGGGGGCUAGCGUUGUUCGGAAUUACUGGGCGUAAAGCGCACGUAGGCGGCUUUCUAAGUCAGGGGUGAAAUCCUGGAGCUCAACUCCAGAACUGCCUUUGAUACUGGGAAGCUCGAGUCCGGGAGAGGUGAGUGGAACUCCGAGUGUAGAGGUGAAAUUCGUAGAUAUUCGGAAGAACACCAGUGGCGAAGGCGGCUCACUGGCCCGGUACUGACGCUGAGGUGCGAAAGCGUGGGGAGCAAACAGG
rnacentral:rRNA from 1 species